rnacentral:rRNA from 1 species
CUGAGGUUACUGCUAUCGAGAUUCGACUAAGCCAUGCGAGUUGAAUGUUCUUCGUGAACAUGGCGGACUGCUCAGUAACACGUGGACAACCUACCCUUGGGUCCGGCAUAAUCCUGGGAAACUGGGAAUAAUUCCGGAUAGGUCACCGAUGCUGGAAUGCGCGGUGGCCGAAAGCUCCGGCGCCCGAGGAUGGGUCUGCGGCCUAUCAGGGUUGUAGUGGGUGUAACGUACCUACUAGCCUACGACGGGUACGGGUUGUGAGAGCAAGAGCCCGGAGAUGGAUUCUGAGACACGAAUCCAGGCCCUACGGGGUGCAGCAGGCGCGAAAACUUUACAAUGCGGGAAACCGUGAUAAGGGGAUCUCGAGUGCCAGCAUAUAAUGUUGGCUGUCCAGAUGCCUAAAAAGCAUCUGUUAGCAAGGGCCGGGCAAGACCGGUGCCAGCCGCCGCGGUAACACCGGCGGCCCGAGUGGUAACCGCUAUUAUUGGGUCUAAAGGGUCUGUAGCCGGCCAGGUAAGUCCCUUGGGAAAUCUGGCAGCUCAACUGUCAGGCUGCUAGGGGAUACUGUUUGGCUUGGGACCGGGAGAGGUGAGAGGUACCUUGGGGGUAGGGGUGAAAUCUUGUGAUCCUCGAGGGACCACCAGUGGCGAAGGCGUCUCACCAGAACGGGUCCGACGGUAAGGGACGAAAGCUAGGGGCACGAACCGGAUUAGAUACCCGGGUAGUCCUAGCCGUAAACGAUGCUCGCUAGGUGUCAGUCACGGUGCGACCGUGAUUGGUGCCGUAGGGAAGCCGUGAAGCGAGCCACCUGGGAAGUAUGGCCGCAAGGCUGAAACUUAAAGGAAUUGGCGGGGGAGCACUACAACSGGKGSAGCCUGCGGUUUAAUUG